rnacentral:rRNA from 1 species
AUAUUUGAGAGUUUGAUCCUGGCUCAGGAUGAACGCUGGCGGCGUGGAUAAGGCAUGCAAGUCGUACGGAUGUAGCAGCCAGCUUCUUGCUUCUAGCUAUCAGCUAAUUUAUAAUAACCGCUAUGUCAUUUAGAUUUCGUAAAUUUAGAGUCUAUCGUGAAGCUAUUGAAUUUCACCGUUUUGUUGUGAAAAUUACAAAAAGCUUUCCAAUAGAUUUUGAUUAUCUUAGAAAGCAGUUACGCAGAGCUUCGCUUUCGGUGAUUUUAAACAUUGCCGAGGGUUCUGCUAAAAAUUCGGAUAAAGACUUUCGAAGAUAUAUUGGUAAUUCUCUUGGUUCAUUAAAUGAAGCAAUGGCGGGUUGUGAAGUAGCUUUAGUAGAAGAGUUAAUUAGCAAAAAUGAUUUUAAUUUUGCAGAAACUACAGUUGAGAAUUUAACUAAUCAGCUCGGUAGUUUUUCUAAAAAAUUAAAUUUAAAUUAGAAGCUGGUGGCAAGAAGCUGGUUGCUACAUUAGUGGCGAACGAGUUAGUAACACCCUGAUUACCUACCCUUAAGAUGGGAAUAAUUCGUCGAAAGACGAACUAAUACCCAAUAGUCUCUGAAGUCGCAAGGCCGAAGAGUAAAGGAGUAAUCCGCUUAAGGAGGGGUCUAGGUCCGAUCAGUUAGUUGGUGGGGUAAUGGCUCACCAAGACUAUGACCGGUAGGAGGGCUGAGAGGCUGUCCUCCAACGGCGAGACUGAGACACGGCUCGCACACCUACGGGUGGCAGCAGUCGAGAAUAUUCGGCAAUGGGCGAAAGCCUGACCGAGCGACGCCGCGUGCAGGAAGAAGGCCUUCGGGUCGUAAACUGCUUUUUCCGCCCAAAAAGUCCGCAAGGAUUGAUGGUAGGCGGAGAAUAAGGCGCUGCAAACUACGUGCCAGCAGCCGCGGUAAUACGUAGGCGCCAAGCGUUAUCCGGAUUUAUUGGGCGUAAAGAGUGUGUAGGGGGUCUGAUGCGUUUUUUGUUAAAUUCCGGCGCUUAACGCCGGGCAUGCAAAAAAUACGAUCAGACUAGAGGAUGUGAGAGGUCAGUGGAACGCACGGUGUAGGGGUGAAAUCCGUUGAUAUCGUGCGGAACACCAAAGGCGAAGGCAACUGACUGGCGCAUUACUGACCCUGAGACACGAAAGCGUGGGGAGCAAAAAGGAUUAGAUAAAUCCUUGUUCUAUAUUUUUAUAGAACUAAAUGGUGUCCCUUCCGACGGCGACGUCGGAAUGCGCAUCUAGCUGUAUCGGGGAAACCCUGAUAUGUCGAUUAGGGUAAUCCCGAGGGAAGUCGUCCGGCCCCUUUAGUAAGGAGUUGGAUUGACCCCGUAGAGACUAUGUAAAUCAAUAAGAUAGAAAAUGACUAAGUCAUUUUUGUCAAAACAGUGCAAAGAAGUUAUUUUAGGUUCUUUGCUUGGUGAUGGAUCGUUAAAAAUUCAUCAUCCAUACAAGAACGCUCGUUUUUCGUUUUGUCAUUCAGUCAAACAAAAAGAAUAUUUUUUCUGGAAGUUAGAACAGUUAAAAGAAAUUUCCGGAGAAAAAUGUUGGUGGGUUCAAAGUAAUAAUAAACUAGGUGGAGAUAAAGUUCGUUAUCAAAGCUUGGCUCUUGAAUCUUUAACCGAUUUAUAUCGAUUGACGCACGAAAAACAGGAGUUGCGCAUUCGCCGUAAAUGGCUGAAUAUGCUUACUCCUCUUUCAUUGGCCGUAUGGUGGUUGGAUGACGGUUCAUUAAUCACAAAUGGACGGCGAGGCGUUUUAUGCACAGAUUGUUUUCCUUAUAAAGAACAAAAGCUUUUAGUUCGUUACUUGUAUAAAGUAUGGAACAUAAAAGUUGCCAUAGGAAAAAUUCACAGAAAACGGAACGGAAAGCAGUCCGAGUAUUACCGAUUAUGGAUUAGGUCAAGCGAAGAAUUGCAAAAAUUAUUGCGGAUUAUUUUACCGCAUAUCAAAAUAGCUUCGAUGUUGUCUAAGGUAGUGCUUAUGUAUAAAAAUAUUGAUUUACAACAACGCUGGAUCUCUGAAGUUGGUAAAGCGACGGGUUUUUCUCAAAAGGUUAUUGAAGGAUGCCUUAAUGAGAAAAAAUCUCGCUGGAAGAAAUUCAGAGAAUGAUAUAGUCCGAUCCUCUGAGUAAUCAGAGAAAUCUAAUUAUGAAUUUUAAUUGUUUAGAAAUUAGGAUUUAGAAAUUAGAAAUUGCAAUUUUGUAGAGCAAAAUUGUUUGACCCUUGUAGUCCACGCCCUAAACUAUGUUCACUAGCUAUUGGGAGUAUCGACCCUCUCGGUGGCGAAGCUAACGCAUUAAGUGAACCGCCUGGGAAGUACGGUCGCAAGACUAAAACUCAAAGGAAUAGACGGAGACUCGCACAAGCGGUGGAGCAUGAGGUUUAAUUCGAUAGUAAACGAAGAACCUUACCAGGGCUUGAAAUGUUUGCGGAAAUUUUACCGAAAGGUAAAAAAUUUCUCUCAAGGACCGCAAACACAGGUGCUGCAUGGUUGAAUUUUCGACUCCUGCGUCAAAGGCGCAGGUGGCACCCUUUCCGAUUUAAUUGGAAAGAAACUGGCUCAUAACGGUGAAACCCUAAUGUGUUUGUGAUAAAAUAAAUACAUGGGCAAUACCGUGGGAAGCACAAACACUGAUUUUUGCAAUUUGCUUAAAAACAAAACUGCAAAAACUUUUUGUAUCUAUAUUUCAAGGUUAGAAACAAAAAAAUUUCUUUCAGAAAUAUAUCCCUUUUCAACAAAAUUGCAAAAAUCAGUGUUUGUUCCCCGUAGAGACUUGGUCAGCCAAAUGGCAGGCCGGAUAGCGGCUAUUAAGCCGUUAUAAUACGCCAGCCCUACCAAAGUUUUGCUUCGCAAAAUUUAGGUGGGUGAAGGUAUAGUCCGUACCAUUAGAGAUAAUGGAAUAAUAUGGUCGUCAGCUCGUGUCGUGAGAUGUUCCCUUAAGUGGGGUAACGAGCGCAACCCCUAUUGCAUGUUAUAUGUGUCAUGUAAAACUGCCUUGAUUUUCAAGGAGGAAGGCGGGGACGACGUCAAAUCCGCAUGGCCCUUUGAUGCCCUGGGCUACACUCAUGCUACAAUGGAGCCGACAAUGCGUUGCCAAGCCGUAAGGCGGAGCUAAUCGCAUCAAACGGCCCCUCAAUUCGGAUUGAAGGCUGCAACUCGCCUUCAUGAAGUCGGAAUCGCUAGUAAUCGCGAAUCAGCUAUAUCGCGGUGAAUACGUUCUCGAGUCUUGUACUCACUGCCCGUCAAGCCAAGGGAGCCGGGAGUAGAUGAAAUUCUGUUUUUAUGGAAUUAGUUUAAACUCGGUAACAAGGGCUAAGUCGUAACAAGGCACGCGUAGCGGAAGCUGUGCGUGAAAUAAAUAAAAU